rnacentral:piRNA from 1 species
UGGACACUUACUAAUCUGGAAAAAGAGAGG